CGUCUUUCUGUUAAAAUUUCCUUUUUUUUACCUUAUAUUUUAUAGUAAAGUUACAGUUACUGUUAUCAAAAAACGUUUCAAAAUUAAUUGUUGCUAUUUUUUAGAUGUGCUAUAAAUUUAUAGCAUCUUUUGAUAAUUUUAAGAACCAUUGAUAUAUCAGCCGCAAAUUUGAAAUUUCUAGCCAUAAAUUUUGAAGCUUUAUCAGGAUAAAAGCUUGUUAGUAGUAGAACUUAGACAUAGAUGACCUGUAAAUGAAAUAAUUUCGUCUAAUGUUUAUAUAAAAGUAUGCGUUAAUAUUGAAUGUAUUGCAAAAUGACUAAGCAUUUUAGGGCAUGACAUAUUCCUUUUGCGACUACUGUUUCAUUCCAAAUUAGUCUUGGCUGAAGAGUAGAAGCCAGUUCAGUGAUAUCUAUUAUUUCUUUUUUAUAAUCCAAGUUUGAGUUGUAUUCUAUCACGAGGAACAGAGGUUCUGCUCUCGUGCAUUCUUGUAUAGUACAAAAGCAGCGUCCGAUUGACGCUUUUUGUACGGGCUUGAAAGCUCUACGGCCUUCGUUGGCCAGCUACGUUCCACGAAGUGCCAUUCCGGACCGUGCGGGCCCGCCAUUACGGUAGCUAAACGGGAAUAGAGGCCAUCCGACCUGCCGAGAGUCUUCGAGGGAAGGUUUCAUUACGUCACGGUGGUUGAGUAGUCCCACAGGCGAGAACCAGUUGGAGGCACGUUGGCCUUCCGGACGAGAGGAGACGGUAGAGUAUCGGACCAUCAGCCACAGCCCAUUCCCGCAACGUUGUUUCGGCCCCUUACGCACGUGUGCCCCUCCCGGCGACGCUUCUGCCGAGGAGCUCUGGUGAUCCCUGGAACAAAAGGUUCGGACACCCGCUGUAGCCGGUACCCCGGCCGCUGGACGUCACGCAGCGUCGACCCACCCCUGACGGUUCGAGCAGCUGCCAGCAUCAGCAUAAAAUCCCUGAUCAGGUAUGUUGUUAAGCAUGGCCAUGUCACACACACUACAACACAUACACUUUCACGUUACACAUAAAUGAA